CCCCCACCUAACCCCUAGGGGCAUAACAUAGCUAUCGGAGAAAGCAGAUGCACGCAGCGGCAACCGCUACACGUGGUAGACCAAACACUUAUCCAUUCAUUUCUCAUCUAAAAUCUACACUUACCUCGUUGAAAUUCUCCUGGAUAUUUCCAUUUAUACAACUUUUUUGCUGUUUUCAUCUUUUUUCACCGUUUAUCAUAGGGUGAAUGGAGAAUAUUUAUUUUGAUAUCUUCUGUUACAAAUGAUGGAGUAAGACAGUAAUAUGGAGCCUAAUCUCAGUAGAGUCGAAGAGGAGAGGGUAACAGAUGCGUUGGGGUUUUUGUUGGGAAAGAGUGGUGGAGGUGGGUCGCCAGUUCCCAUGGACAAGCUACUGCAGUUGACAUCUUGUGGGUUUGUUAUCAUUGAUUCGUUGGAGUCAAAUCUAUCAAUUAUUUAUGUUGAUUUAGCAUUCGAGAUGGUCACUAAGUGAAAAAUAAGUUGGUACUCAGUCAAAGCUGAUGUGACUUCGGUGCGGGUAGUGUUGGUGGGAUGGGUUGGCAACAACAUAUGAGUACAAAAUUUGCUGGUGGUGGUGGUGAGGUGACGACGAUGUUCCGGUUGUAUCGAUUUUCGUAGAAUGGCAGUGGGUCGAAGUCGGGUGAUAUGUUGACCAAUUGUAACCAAUUAUUUGGGUAAUUGUGACAAAUAGAAUGAUCGAUUGGGGACAAAAUCAAUUGGGGGGCUGUUGUAUCAAUCUCCUCUCUCUCUUGAUCUUCUUUCUCUCUUUAAAUACCCUAAUUCUAUAGAAUUAAUUGGGGAUUGUUGUACAUAAUCUGACGGAAUCGAUGGGCGCCAUUGCGCAAUCAACCCAAGUCUACAAGUCGCAGACAUUUGCAAUCAACCCAGUGGCAAAGAUAGUACCUUGCUAGUGGUGAUAUAUCUAAGGUUGUAUGUGUCAUAUCUAUUGUUGGAUCAUUCACAUAGUGGCAGUGGUAUGGUGAUGUCAGUGGUGGUGGUUAGGAUUUGUUGAAAGUGAUGGUGGUGCGCAUUUGGUUGACGUUGUUGGGAGUGGUGGUAGUGAUGAUGAAAAUCGAGUAUGACCAAAUAUAUUUUCAAUGUGACUAUCUGUGAUCAAAUCUAUAAUAACUGUGACUGUAAGUGACUUUAUUACAUAUAGUCAGAAAUUAGACAGAUAGGGUCACGGAUAGUCACACUGAAGAUAAAAUUGGUCACAAUUAGUCACAAAAACAAAGGUCAGUGAAUGUAGUAAAGUUGGAGGUGAACAUGGCAGUGACUGGUGGUGGAUUUUGGUACUGGGCUAAGAUGUGUGAAAAUUUGUUUAUUGUGACUCUUUGAGGUCAAGUAUGUAUUUAUUGUGGAAGUU
rnacentral:lncRNA from 1 species